CGAAAUUGUCGAUGUCCGCUGAUAAUUAAUAUAAGCUGGGAAUAGUGAGAAAAAUAGCUUUACAUUAAGUUUGAAACAUCAUAUUUGAAAAUACUUCAUCGUGCCCGUAUAAAAAUUUCCAAGUAUCAACGAAGCAACGAGAACACUAAUUUGACAGAAAACCGCGAUUCUCUCUUUCGAUCGUUUCGUAAUUAAUCAUUAGACCGAUUAGACCGAUAGUAGCACCGUGAUAGAAAAGAUAAGUUUUAUGAACCAAAUAGGAACGAGGUUUGCGGAAUACAAGUACUUUUCGACAAUUAUAAAAAAUAAAAAAUGAUGUUUUCGGUAACGUCGGCAUGGUUUUUAAUUCCACAUAAUUCAAUUAAACGCUAUUCGACUAAUGACAACAAACUGAUUGUUACUUAAACAUACUUUUAUUUCGCUUAAAAUUAUACAACUUAUUCUCUCGAGAAUAAAAGGUUAAUAAACAAAAUUUCAGAACAUAAUAAAAUACUUGAAAAAUGAAAUUUCUUUAACUUUUAAGCAUCAGUUACGAACUAAGAAUGUAAUGCCCUGCUGUUAUGCAACUAGAUAUAAUUGAAAUUAUCAUAUACUUCAUUCUUUUAUUAUCAUACAAAUAUAUACAAUAUCGUUAUUUUUUUAAGUCAGUUCUUGUGUCUUUAGUAACCGUUAUCGCCUUUUAUAAUUUAAACGGAACGGAUUGCUUACUUAAAGUAUAGACAGUACACAAAGAAUGAUAAUUAUUUACAUAGAACAAUGUUCAACAGGAAUGGUAAUAAAUAAAAAAAUUGCGUGUGAUAUAAGAACUAUACUCAAUGUUGGCUAUUUAAAUCUUACAUAAUUAUUAGUAUCUUCAUAAAGAUUUCACGUAUAAACGAGCGUAUGCUUUUUUUAGUUGUAAUCCUUUCUUUUUACAAAAUAUAUUUACAACCGGCCACGUGUCGUAAUAAUCUGCUAACCGUGAAAUAAAAUUGUUCGACAGAAAAAUAAUGAAUUCUCGUAGCUUUUAUCGUAUUAACUCUGCACGCUUUUCCGUGUAAUAAACUCGUUGAAAAAACGGACGUGGUUCAACAACAUGACGUAUUUCUUAUACAGUCACUUACUAUCUGGGGGAAUUCUUUGAAGUAUCCAACGUACAUCGUACUUCUGAAUCGAAACGAAUCUACUGAUUAGGUACAUUAGCGGUAAUUUUCAUAGCGCAUACAUUCAUGUUCCCCGUAUAUCAGAUUUGAAAAAAAAA